rnacentral:rRNA from 1 species
GUGGGGAAUAUUGGGCAAUGGGCGAAAGCCUGACCCAGCAACGCCGCGUGAAGGAAGAAGGUUUUCGGAUUGUAAACUUCUGUCCUCAGGGAAGAAGGAAGUGACGGUACCUGAGGAGGAAGCCCCGGCUAACUACGUGCCAGCAGCCGCGGUAAUACGUAGGGGGCGAGCGUUGUCCGGAAUGACUGGGCGUAAAGGGCGCGUAGACGGCUGUCUAAGUCUGGAGUGAAAGUCCUGCUUUCAAGGUGGGAAUUGCUUUGGAGACUGGAUGGCUUGAGUGCGGAAGAGGUAAGUGGAAUUCCCAGUGUAGCGGUGAAAUGCGUAGAGAUUGGGAAGAACACCAGUGGCGAAGGCGACUUACUGGGCCGUAACUGACGUUGAUGCGCGAAAGCGUGGGGAGCGAACAGGAUUAGAAACCCUGGUAGUCC